rnacentral:rRNA from 1 species
GACGUAGGACGCGAGCGUUGUCCGGAUUUAUUGGGCGUAAAGAGCUCGUAGGCGGCUCAUUGCGUCAACCGUGAAAACCAGCAGCUCAACUGUUGGCUUGCGGUUGAUACGGGUGGGCUGGAGUUCGGUAGGGGAGACUGGAAUUCCUGGUGUAGCGGUGAAAUGCGCAGAUAUCAGGAGGAACACCGGUGGCGAAGGCGGGUCUCUGGGCCGAUACUGACGCUGAGGAGCGAAAGCGUGGGGAGCGAACAGG